UUUUAGAGGCUGACAUGUAGCAAGUGCUCCAUAAGUAUUAAUUAAAUUAAUAUUGCCUUGCUUUAAUGCUUCACAACACUCACAGCAUCCAUUUGAACCAGAGACCAAAAUAAGUAAAAAAUUUUCAGUUUGAACUUUCUGAUAUGAUCUAUCAGAAUUGCUAACUUUAUGGGACCAGGUGCAUCCCCAUGCAUUGCUCAUCUGAUGAAUUAGUGACUUGCAUUGGUAGAUCUCUGUUGUUCUUUUGGUGGUGGGGUAGACUCUGGUUUUAGCCUUAACCAAGGUACAGAUAUUUCAACAAUUAUUGCUUUUCACUUUUUAUAAAAUGUUAGUUUACAAAUUGCUUUCUUUUUGAAACAGAGUCUCACUCUGUCAUCCAGACUGUAGUGCAGUGGGGCAAUGUCGGCUGACUGCAGCCUGCGCCCCCCGGGCUCAAGCAAUCCUCCUGCCUCAGCCUCCCAAGUAGCUGGGACUUUCAGUGUAUUUGUAAUAGACAGUGGGACACUCCAGCAAAGCUGUUUACAAUGGUAUUUUGAAUAUCAUAAUAUCAUUUUCCCAUUGCCUCCUAUUAAAAAAAGCUGGAAACCAUCAUUCUCAGCAAACUAUCACAAGGACAAAAAGCCAAACACCGCAUGUUCUCACUCAUAGGUGGCAAUUGAACAAUGAGAACACUUGGUGUCACACACUUUGAAACACCCAGAAGGCGGAAAUUGCAGUAAGCCAAAAUUGCGCCACUGAACUCCAGCCUGGGCGACAGAGUGAGAUACCAUAUCAAAAGUUAAAUAAAUAAUAAAUAUAUAAGAUAAUGAUGAUGAUAAUAAUUUAUAAGACAAUAGGAAAACCUUGAAAACUGACUGAAUAUUUGAUUUGAUACAUUAAGAGUUAUUGCUCUUCUAACUGCUGUGAGAUGGUAUCUCACUGUGGUUUUGAUUUGCAUUUCUAUGAUGGCCAGUGAUGAUGAGCAUUUUUUCAUGUGUCUUUUGGCUGCAUAAAUGUCUUCUUUUCAGAAGUGUCUGUUCAUAUCCUUUGCCCACUUGUUGAUGGGGUUGUUUUAAAAAGUCAGGAAACAACAGGUGCUGGAGAGG
rnacentral:lncRNA from 1 species